rnacentral:rRNA from 1 species
GAUGAACGCUGGCGGCGUGCCUAAUACAUGCAAGUCGAGCGAACGGACGAGAAGCUUGCUUCUCUGAUGUUAGCGGCGGACGGGUGAGUAACACGUGGAUAACCUACCUAUAAGACUGGGAUAACUUCGGGAAACCGGAGCUAAUACCGGAUAAUAUUUUGAACCGCAUGGUUCAAAAGUGAAAGACGGUCUUGCUGUCACUUAUAGAUGGAUCCGCGCUGCAUUAGCUAGUUGGUAAGGCAACGGCUUACCAAGGCAACGAUGCAUAGCCGACCUGAGAGGGUGAUCGGCCACACUGGAACUGAGACACGGUCCAGACUCCUACGGGAGGCAGCAGUAGGGAAUCUUCCGCAAUGGGCGAAAGCCUGACCGAGCAACGCCGCGUGAGUGAUGAAGGUCUUCAGAUCGUAAAACUCUGUUAUUAUGGAAGAACAUAUGUGUAAGUAACUGUGCACAUCUUGACGGUACCUAAUCAGAAAGCCACGGCUAACUACGUGCCAGCGGCCGCGGUAAUACGUAGGUGGCAAGCGUUUGCCGGAAUUAUUGGGCGUAAAGCGCGCGUACGCGGAUUUUUAAGUCUGAUGUGAAAGCCCACGGGCUCACCGUUGGAGGCUCCUUGAACUCUGUAACUCUUGAGAGCGAAAGAAGAGAGUGAAUUUCCAUGGUGUCCGUGGAAUGCGCCCAUAUUAUGAAGAAUACCCGUGGGCAAAGGCAACUUCCGGGCCUGUUCCCAACCCUAAUGUCCAAAACCUGGGUGAUCAACCAGGAUAAAAUCCCCGGUAAUCCCCCCCCUAAACCAAUAAUGGCUAGUGGCUGGAGUCUUACCUCCCCUUCGCGCCGCACCUAUUACAUUCUCCACCCCGCCAGUACACUCCCACCUGUGAGACUCAACUCAAUUGACUUGAACCCGCCCCACCCACGCAGCGUGUGGUGUAAUUCAACUCAACGCGACGAACCUAACCUUACCUUGUCUUGUCUUCCAUUCACUUCUCUAUAGCUGCCUCUUUCUUCUUAUAACUACAAUACGAGCGGUGCAUGGUGGUCGUCAGCUCCUCUCGUCAGAUGAUGUUUUAAUUCCCCUCACGAGGACCGCCCCCCUUGCUCUUUACCUUCAUUCAUUAGUUGACUCCUCUAAUACUGCUGCCGACGAACCACAGGAAGGAGGUGAUGACGACCACUCAUCAUCCCCUUCCUUACUAGUUCUACUCCACUCCUGCUACGAUGGGCACUCCAGGAAGCAACACUGCCACGUUGACCAGCACUUCCCAUGCCGGUGCCUCUUCUGAUUACUGUCUGCAGCUCCUCUGCUACAUGUUGCUGGUGCUACUAAUCAUCGAUCAUCAUGCUGCUGCGGAUGACUACCCUCGCUCU